rnacentral:rRNA from 1 species
GCCUAACACAUGCAAGUCGAACGGUAACAGGAAGCAGCUUGCUGCUUCGCUGACGAGUGGCGGACGGGUGAGUAAUGUCUGGGAAACUGCCUGAUGGAGGGGGAUAACUACUGGAAACGGUGGCUAAUACCGCAUAACGUCGCAAGACCAAAGAGGGGGACCUUCGGGCCUCUUGCCAUCAGAUGUGCCCAGAUGGGAUUAGCUUGUUGGUGAGGUAACGGCUCACCAAGGCGACGAUCCCUAGCUGGUCUGAGAGGAUGACCAGCCACACUGGAACUGAGACACGGUCCAGACUCCUACGGGAGGCAGCAGUGGGGAAUAUUGCACAAUGGGCGCAAGCCUGAUGCAGCCAUGCCGCGUGUAUGAAGAAGGCCUUCGGGUUGUAAAGUACUUUCAGCGGGGAGGAAGGUGUUGUGGUUAAUAACCGCAGCAAUUGACGUUACCCGCAGAAGAAGCACCGGCUAACUCCGUGCCAGCAGCCGCGGUAAUACGGAGGGUGCAAGCGUUAAUCGGAAUUACUGGGCGUAAAGCGCACGCAGGCGGUCUGUCAAGUCGGAUGUGAAAUCCCCGGGCUCAACCUGGGAACUGCAUUCGAAACUGGCAGGCUUGAGUCUUGUAGAGGGGGGUAGAAUUCCAGGUGUAGCGGUGAAAUGCGUAGAGAUCUGGAGGAAUACCGGUGGCGAAGGCGGCCCCCUGGACAAAGACUGACGCUCAGGUGCGAAAGCGUGGGGAGCAAACAGGAUUAGAUACCCUGGUAGUCCACGCCGUAAACGAUGUCUACUUGGAGGUUGUGCCCUUGAGGCGUGGCUUCCGGAGCUAACGCGUUAAGUAGACCGCCUGGGGAGUACGGCCGCAAGGUUAAAACUCAAAUGAAUUGACGGGGGCCCGCACAAGCGGUGGAGCAUGUGGUUUAAUUCGAUGCAACGCGAAGAACCUUACCUGGUCUUGACAUCCACAGAAGAAUCCAGAGAUGGAUUUGUGCCUUCGGGAACUGUGAGACAGGUGCUGCAUGGCUGUCGUCAGCUCGUGUUGUGAAAUGUUGGGUUAAGUCCCGCAACGAGCGCAACCCUUAUCCUUUGUUGCCAGCGGUUAGGCCGGGAACUCAAAGGAGACUGCCAGUGAUAAACUGGAGGAAGGUGGGGAUGACGUCAAGUCAUCAUGGCCCUUACGACCAGGGCUACACACGUGCUACAAUGGCGCAUACAAAGAGAAGCGACCUCGCGAGAGCAAGCGGACCUCAUAAAGUGCGUCGUAGUCCGGAUUGGAGUCUGCAACUCGACUCCAUGAAGUCGGAAUCGCUAGUAAUCGUGGAUCAGAAUGCCACGGUGAAUACGUUCCCGGGCCUUGUACACACCGCCCGUCACACCAUGGGAGUGGGUUGCAAAAGAAGUAGGUAGCUUAACCUUCGGGAGGGCGCUUACCACUUUGUGAUUCAUGACUGGGGUGAAGUCGUAACAAGGUAACCGUAGGGGAACCUGCGGUUGGAUCACCUCCUUACCUUAAAGAA